CCUCGAGAACGUUGAUGACCGUUAGGGUCAUGACCGUUACCCCCCCACCUUUUUAUUUUCCCCAUUCAUUCAUCUCUUUACUCCAUUCCGCUCACAUUCAUCCACAUUUAUUUUCCUCUCACCCACUCCUCUUCCCACUUCCAAAACUUUUCCUAUAAAUACCUACAAUCCAUUUCUCCCUACACCACAUCAUUCCAAC
rnacentral:lncRNA from 1 species